rnacentral:rRNA from 1 species
GAUGAACGCUGGCGGCGUGCCUAAUACAUGCAAGUCGAGCGAACGGACGAGAAGCUUGCUUCUCUGAUGUUAGCGGCGGACGGGUGAGUAACACGUGGAUAACCUACCUAUAAGACUGGGAUAACUUCGGGAAACCGGAGCUAAUACCGGAUAAUAUUUUGAACCGCAUGGUUCAAAAGUGAAGGACGGUCUUGCUGUCACUUAUAGAUGGAUCCGCGCUGCAUUAGCUAGUUGGUAAGGUAACGGCUUACCAAGGCAACGAUGCAUAGCCGACCUGAGAGGGUGAUCGGCCACACUGGAACUGAGACACGGUCCAGACUCCUACGGGAGGCAGCAGUAGGGAAUCUUCCGCAAUGGGCGAAAGCCUGACGGAUCAACGCCGCGUGAGUGAUGAAGGUCUUCGGAUCGUAAAACUCUGUUAUUAGGGAAGAACAUAUGUGUAAGUAACUGUGCACAUCUUGACGGUACCUAAUCAGAAAGCCACGGCUAACUACGUG